rnacentral:rRNA from 1 species
UACGUAGGUGGCAAGCGUUAUUCGGAAUUAUUGGGCGUAAAGGGCGCGUAGGCGGCCAUUCAAGUGACGGGUGAAAGCCCUCGGCUUAACCGAGGAACUGCCUGUCAGACUGGAUGGCUUGAGACCGGGAGAGGUGAGUGGAAUUCCCAGUGUAGCGGUGAAAUGCGUAGAUAUUGGGAGGAACACCAGUGGCGAAGGCGGCUCACUGGACCGGAACUGACGCUGAGGCGCGAAAGCGUGGGGAGCAAACAGG